GACGAACGCUGGCGGCGUGCCUAAUACAUGCAAGUCGAGCGGAAGGAUGGGAGAUUGCUCCCAGAUCGUCAGCGGCGGCCGGGGGAGUAACACGUGGGCAACCUGCCUGUAAGACUGGGGUAACUCCGGGAAACCGGGGCUAAAACAGGAUAAAACUUCCCCUCACAAGAGGGGGAGCUGAAAGAUGGCCUUUCGCUAUCACUUACAGAGGGGCCCGCGGCGCAUUAGCUAGUUGGUGAGGUAACGGCUCACCAAGGCGACGAUGCGUAGCCGACCUGAGAGGGUGACCGGCCACACUGGAACUGAGACACGGCCCAGACUCCUACGGGAGGCAGCAGUAGGGAAUCUUGCGCAAUGGACGAAAGUCUGACGGAGCAACGCCGCGUGAGUGAUGAAGGCUUUCGGAUCGUAAAGCUCUGUUGUCAGGGAAGAACGAGUACCGGAGUAACCGCCUGUACCUUGACGUUACCUGACCAGAAAGCCACGGCUAACUACGUG
rnacentral:rRNA from 1 species